GAAGAGACAGGGGUGGAGAGAGAGAGAGGAAGAGACAGGGGUGGAGAGAGAGAGAGAGAGGAAGAGAUAGGGAUGAGAGAGAGGAAGAGACAGGGAUGAGAGAGAGAGGAAGCGACGGGAUGAGAGAGAGGAAGCGAUAGGGGUGGAGAGAGAGAGAGAGGAAGCGACAGGGGUGGAGAGAGAGGGGAAGCGACGGCGACAGAGAGAGAGGGGAAGCGACAGGGGUGGAGAGAGAGAGGGGAAGCGACGGGGAUGGAGAGAGAGAGAGGAAGAGACAGGGAUGGAGAGAGAGAGAGGAAGAGACAGGGAUGAGAGAGAGAGGAAGAGACAGGGAUGGAGAGAGAGAGGAAGAGACAGGGAUGAGAGAGAGAGGAAGAGACGGGUGGAGAGAGAGAGGAAGCGACAGGG
ensembl:lncRNA